AAGGGCUCUUCUUACACUUGGCAGAGCAUUGUGGCUGGCAUUCAGACCUUCAAACGAGGUUGCAUUUGGCGUGUUGGAUCUGGAGCUAAUAUUGAUAUUUGGAAUGACCCCUGGAUACCAUCUAGUGUUACUAGAAAACUGAUUACACCAAGAGGUGCAACUAUGCUAUCAAAGGUUGAGGAGUUAGUAAAUCCACAUACGGGGCAAUGGGACGAAGAACUAAUCCGGGAUAUAUUUUCACCGGUCGACGUCCAUAGAAUACUACAGAUCCAGCUAAACCCCCACAUGAUAGAAGAUUUUGUAGCAUGGAAUUACACACGGUCGGGUACAUUCUCCGUGCGAUCGGCCUAUCAUAGAGAACUUGAGCAUCAAUAUGGUCCGCGGUGGCGGCGAGGGGAUGGGCAAGGCUCAGAAUAUAUCAACUCGGUGUGGGAGGAUAUGUGGAAUUUGAAGGUUCCUGGGAAGAUAAAACACUUUGGUUGGAAAGUCCUGCACGGUUCCCUACCUUGCCUUGGUGUAUUGGCAAAUCGCCAUAUCCCAUGCACGGGACAAUGCCCAGUCUGCUCAGUUGGAGUAGAAGAUAUACAACACUGCCUGUUUAACUGCCCGCGAGCAAACUCGGUUUGGGAACAACUUGGCUUGGCGCAAAGUGUGCAAGAGGCGAUGGCUGAGGAAAUCCUGUCGCACAAUGGAAAUCCUGUCGAAGCUUCAGGGUAA
rnacentral:rRNA from 1 species